rnacentral:lncRNA from 1 species
GAGAAGGCGUUGCGACAAAUGCCUGUGUGGCUGCUUGGUUAAUGUCAGAGAGUUUUAACGUGGAGGUUGUUGCGAGUCAGCUUCCGGGCCGCCAGAGGGCACUCUGGUUUACGUGGCAUUAAGGCCCUCUUGGCUGGUUCUUUGUUUUUUCAUUUCCUGUCGUGUCAUGUCCUGUUAUUAGGUUAAUUAGAGUCACCUGUUUUAGUAAGUAUUUAAGUUUCUGGUUUGGGUACAGUCUUUGUUGGUUGGUUAUUCCUAUCCCUAUCCCUUGUCUAUAGGUGUUACAUGGAGGUUGUUGUUAGAUGUUGUUUCUGUCUUGUGGUCCAGUCCUGUCCCUGAUCAAGGUUUGUCUAGUCUUUGUGUUUUGUGCAUUGCAUGUUACAUGUCGUCGUGUCAUCGUGGUCCAGUCCUGUCCCUGAUCAAGGUUUGUCUAGUCUUUGUGUUGUCCUUGUGUUUUGUGCAUUGUAUGUUACAUGUCGUUGUGUCUUCGUGCUCUCUGUCCAGGUUUGUGUGUUAGUUCGGAGUAUGUUAGGUUUUGUUGCUAGCUUGUUCUGUGUUCUUAGUAGGGUCAUUUAGUUUCCUGUUCAGCAGUGAUCUUUUGUUACUCAGUGAGUUGUAUGUGUUAGUUUGCAUUCAUAUUUCUGCCCUAGCCUGCAUACACAGUGACCUUAGUUUGUAUUGUCCUUUCUGUAUGUUUUAAUUAUUAAACCAUCCAUCAUCAUCAACCAUCAUCCUCGGCAGUGGCUCCAACCUCUGCCACCACGACACAGGAUUUCACUGACAAAGAUCUGCUAUCUCUCCAAUCCUUGGAUCCAACCAUCCAGGCUGUCAUUCUCUUCCUGUCUGAUCCUUUAUCUCAUCCAAUCUCAGAUACGGACCUUGAUUCUAUCCCUGACUUGAAACCUCUUUACCUACCUGUACGCGAACACCUGCACGCUGUCAAAGGCCUGCUCAUGUAUGUCUCCAAGGCCCUCACUUCACCUCUGCUUGUGGUGCCUUGUAGCCACAGGGGGGUGAUGAUAACGUAGGCCCAUUACAUUCCAUGUGCUGGACACAGAGUAGCCAAAGCUACAUGUAGUAUAGUCCAACAGGUGGCAUACACAGGAAAGACGUAGCAAACUACAUCCAAGGCUGCUUAGUUUGCUGCCAGUUCCAGCCAGCAAACCCAAAU